GCACUAUUUUUAACUCGAAUUAUGUAUACAUAGUUAAAAAAUAUAAAAAUGACUCUCUGUAUAUGCUCGAACCAUUGACUUCAAUCCUAAAUCUACAUAUCUAUGGAAGUGGGAAAGUAAAAUAUGCAGACACAUAAUCAAGCAAAGGGCAUCCAAUAUACAUAUACUGCGUGUAGACAAUUGUAUUUGACCAUUCCAAGUGAGUAAUUUCCGCAAGAUAAAUGAUUCACAGCUCAUGCUUUAAGCAGAAGAACAAGAGGCAAUUCCACCGCACAACUUAAUUUAUCUAAAAUUGGUCCUUACCUGAAAGUUGGUACGACUUUAUAAUGACAGAUAGUAAGUCUCAAGUCUGGACAUAUCCCUGCUCUGUUUCUAUGGCUUUUGAAUUUCACAGAUUUAAGAAGCCUUUUAUCUGUUUUUGUGAUAUAAAAAUGACAAUCAUGCUUAACUGGUUAAAAUAUAAAUAAAAUAAAAUUAUCUACCUUAUGCGUGAGCUGGGUAUAACUUUAAUUAAACAAUUAGAGUUCAUUUGAGUUCAGAUAUGUAGAGUAGAUCAAAUUCUGAGGUUGAUUUGGAGAUUCAUGUGGCAAUUUCCCUCCAGAAACUUGCAGCUUCAAAUGUAAGACUGAUCCGGAAGCCUGGGAACUGAAGUCCCAUUGUUAUCAUGACAAGUUGGUUCCAACUAGGAGGUUUUCGGAUUGAAUUCUAUUAACAACUAAAGGUAUGGAUUCUUCGUGCGAACAACAAAGAGUAGACCGGCUAAGUCAACAUUAUGAUAGCGUUCACAAGUACGGGAUAGGAAAAGACAUCUCAAUGAGUGCUCAACAGAAGGGUGCAUGUCAUUGAGCAGCGACAAUGACCCAAACGAAAACUUUGGUCCAGGUUUGUAGCCUUUGAAACAGGCCUUUAAAAUUACCAUAGUUGCAGCAGCACUGCAAGCACUCAGCACUUCUCUUUCGCACAAGUGAAACAACUCCAGGUAAAGUGAUUUAUGGAAUAUCACAAAGCCCUUGGCAUCAAGAAGAGCAAAUUUCCAAGACGAGAAAUAUCAGAACAGCCUUUUGAGUGGGAAGAGUAAGUUUCUCUUUUCCAUGUGGUAGGAGGUUCAACUAAGGUUCAGGUAUCUUUUUCCCAUACCAAAAACACUUAAUGAAUCUUUGCUGAUGUUUUACUAGUGUGCCUUAAAAUUUUGAGUUCUAAUUUGUCAUUUAGACUAUUGACCAUUGGACCAAUCGGCUUUCCCCUCACACCUAACAUUUUCAGUUGGUUUCAUUAAGUAACAAUCAUUAUCCUUUAUCUUAGGUUAAAUUCCUAAAGCAGGUGUGAUUCAGUUAAGCUUGGAUUGUGUUUCAGGGAUUCUUGAUUAAUUGCUUUAUUCGAUAUUUUGAUUGAUUGUCUGUUUCAAAUUUGUGCUAAUUGUUUUUCACACUCUCCCAAGACCCCACUUGUGAGAUUACACUGGCAUGUUGUUGUUGCUUUUUCUUAUUGGCCCAAUUUAAGGUAGAAGUAGUGUUCACUUCAGCAGAGCUACGGAACAAUCUCAAAAUAAAAGCAGUAAAGAAAUAAGUGCAAAUAGAAGAGCUAGAUGAGAUUUCUUCUUGAGUUAAUAGAGACUACAACUUUGUUUCCCAAACUCAGUCGUUCAGCACUGUACAAUUUACUUCUAUCCUUCCUAAACACUGAAAAUCAGCAGGUGGUUUUCUGUAUACAAGCAAAAAAUAAACCCAAAUGUUUGUUGUCAGUCCCCAUUUGUAACAUCCUACCUACCACUACUCCGUAGUUAACUAAAACCUCUCAAUAUCCUAAAUCUUGAGCUAGUCCUACUUCCAAAAGCCAGCCAAACUGUGAUAUCUUCUGAGCUGCUUAAACAGAUGCACAAAAACCAGCCAGAGAAAAUACUAACAGAAGCACCAUAGCACUAUUUAGUUGAAUAAAAUCCCGAGACACCAAUAUCUGAUUCUCAAACCCAUAAAAUGGCUUAGGUUGUACCAGCUUCUUUUGCCUCAACAUAAGGAGACUGUACACUAUCCUCAUCAGAAUCACUCCCAGAAGAACUUCCUGAAUCUGAAUCUGCAAACAUUUACCAUAGCAAAAGUAAAUAUACCAUCACUUGUUUAUCAAAAUGAACGACAGAAAAAAAGUUAUACCACUGGAAGAAGAAUCACUGCCAGAACUUGAGCUGCUAGAGCUGCUCGACCCACUACUCACACACGGCCCAUCCUUCUCAAUCUGUACAGGAGGAAAAUUUUCACCUGGUAUUUCCUCACCGAUAUCAACAUCCUCUUCCCCGACAUCCACUUUCUUGUUUUUAGGCAUUACAUGCUCUGGUAUUGGUAUUUCCUCAACGCUAUCAACAUCCUCUUUCCUGAUGUCUGCAUUCUUGUUUUUAGGCAUUGCUUGCUCUGGUUUUGAUAUUUCCUCAACUAUAUCAACAUCCUCAUCCCCAAAACCCACUUUCUUGUUUUGAGGCAUUGCUUGUCCUGGUGUUGGUGCCUUCCCAGGCGACUUAUUUACAAAAGACAACAAGUUGAUCAGAAAACAUAGCACAAUAUAGAGAUUAGUUAACAAACGUAUGAAAAAUGCUAUACAUACCUUGUUGAGCUGUUUAGCAGCAGCAUCUUCAGUGACUCCUUGUCUCUUCGACUUGCUCAUAGCCUUCUUAUGGUUACCAACAAACCUUUCCAGCUCCCACAGCGUUUCAUUGUCAAGGGCCUCAAAGUCAAGCUCAAUCUCAUCCCCUUCCUGUGUUAGAUUAGGGGUUCUCCUCUUCACAAUUUGCACGACUUGAUCCAUCUUCUCUGAGGGGAGAUUCUGCAAGUCAGCCGCUAACUUCGCUUUCUCCUCAUGGAUCAUAUGCCUUUUGUUAGGAUCCUUAGCCUUCGGCUUGCGCAUUUUAGCUGAACUUGGCGUAAAAACAGGCUGUGGAGGGGAUUUUACAG